AACGCUAGCUACAGGCUUAACACAUGCAAGUCGAGGGGCAGCAUGGUCUUAGCUUGCUAGGACUGAUGGCGACCGGCGCACGGGUGAGUAACACGUAUCCAACCUUCCCCUUACUCGGGCAUAGCCCAUCGAAAGAUGGAUUAACUCCCGAUGGUUUCACGCGGUUGCAUGACAGCGUGAAUAAAGUUUACGGUAAGGGAUGGGGAUGCGCUCCAUUAGCUUGUUGGCGGGGUAACGGCCCACCAAGGCUACGAUGGAUAGGGGUUCUGAGAGGAAGGUCCCCCACAUUGGAACUGAGACACGGUCCAAACUCCUACGGGAGGCAGCAGUGAGGAAUAUUGGUCAAUGGCCGUAAGGCUGAACCAGCCAAGUAGCGUGAAGGAUGACCGCCCUACGGGUCGUAAACUUCUUUUAUAAGGGAAUAACACCUCCCACGUGUGGGAGCCUGCAUGUACCUUAUGAAUAAGCAUCGGCUAACUCCGUGCCAGCAGCCGCGGUAAUACGGAGGAUGCGAGCGUUAUCCGGAUUUAUUGGGUUUAAAGGGAGCGCAGACGGGCGAUUAAGUCAGUUGUGAAAUGCCGCGGCUCAACCGUGGACUUGCAGUUGAUACUGGUUGCCUUGAGUGCGGUUGAGGCACGCGGAAUUCGUGGUGUAGCGGUGAAAUGCUUAGAUAUCACGAAGAACUCCGAUUG
rnacentral:rRNA from 1 species